rnacentral:rRNA from 1 species
GGAGGGGUGCGAGCGUUAAUCGGAAUUACUGGGCGUAAAGCGCGCGUAGGCGGGCUUGGUCAGUCGGGAUGUGAAAGCCCCGGGGCUUAACCUGGGAAUUGCAUUCGAUACUGCCAGACUAGAGUAUGGGAGAGGGAAGCGGAAUUUCCGGUGUAGCGGUGAAAUGCGUAGAUAUCGGAAGGAACACCAGUGGCGAAGGCGGCUUCCUGGCCCAAUACUGACGCUGAGGUGCGAAAGCGUGGGGAGCGAACAGGAUUAGAUACCCUGGUAGUCCACGCCGUAAACGAUGAGAACUAGAUGUCGGGAGGAUUUGCCUCUCGGUGUCGCAGCUAACGCGUUAAGUUCUCCGCCUGGGGAGUACGCCGGCAACGGUA